rnacentral:rRNA from 1 species
UACGAAGGUCCCAAGCGUUGUUCGGAAUCACUGGGCGUAAAGGGAGCGUAGGCGGCGUGGUAAGUCAGAUGUGAAAUCCCGGGGCUCAACCCCGGAACUGCAUCCGAUACUGCCGUGCUUGAGGGUUGGAGAGGGUAGCUGGAAUUCUCGGUGUAGCAGUGAAAUGCGUGGAUAUCGAGAGGAACACUCGUGGCGAAGGCGAGCUACUGGACAACAUCUGACGCUGAGGCUCGAAGGCUAGGGGGAGCAAAAAGGG